rnacentral:misc_RNA from 1 species
AACUUUUGGCAACGGAUCUCUUGGCUCUCGUAUCGAUGAAGAACGCAGCGAAAUGCGAUAAGUAAUGUGAAUUGCAGAAUUCAGUGAAUCAUCGAAUCUUUGAACGCACCUUGCGCUCCUUGGUAUUCCGAGGAGCAUGCCUGUUUGAGUGUCAUUAAUAUAUAUAUCAAACUUCUCUUUGUUGAGUGGUUUGGAUGUGGGGGUUUUUGCUGGGCCCUUGUAAAGGGUUCAGCUCCCCUGAAAUGCAUUAGCAGAACAACCCUGUUCAUUGGUGUGAUAACUAUCUACGCUAUUGAAUGUGAGGGGCAGUUCAGCUUUCUAACAGUCCUUGGACAAUUCAUCAUUAAUGUGACCUCAAAUCAGGUAGGACUACCCGCUGAACUUAAGCAUAUCAAUAAGCGGAGGCU